rnacentral:rRNA from 1 species
UACGGUAGGUGGCAAGCGUUGUCCGGAAUUAUUGGGCGUAAAGCGCGCGCAGGCGGUCCUUUAAGUCUGAUGUGAAAGCCCACGGCUCAACCGUGGAGGGUCAUUGGAAACUGGGGGACUUGAGUACAGAAGAGAAGAGUGGAAUUCCACGUGUAGCGGUGAAAAUGCGUAGAAUAUCCGGAGGAACACCAGUGGCGAAGG